AACAAAUUUGAUCUUAUUGUUGAUGAGAGAAAUUAAUGACACUGGGGUCAGGGCGGCUAGGUGGUCUAGUGGAGUAAGUCUCCGCUAAAGCAUCUC